CUUUUAAGAUUAACCUCAAACUCAAAAUUUGAGGAGAUAGGUUGCCGUAAACUUAACGUUUUGUUUGAUUUCCAAACAUUUCCCAAACCAAAUAUAAAUUUUAAAAUACAUAUGCUAAUAAAAAAAUAAACAGGAUAAAAUGAUUAUUCCUGUGCGUUGUUUCACUUGUGGAAAAGUAAUUGGAAACAAAUGGGAAGCUUAUUUAGGGCUUCUACAGGCUGAAUAUACGGAAGGUGACGCCCUUGAUGCACUGGGUCUUAAAAGGUACUGUUGCAGAAGAAUGCUGUUGGGUCAUGUCGACUUAAUUGAAAAAUUACUUAAUUAUGCUCCUCUAGAAAAGUAACUAUUAGUAGUUCUAAGUUCAGUUUACUUUAAAAUAAUAAAUAUAAGCGUUUCAUUGUCCUCAAUGAAGAAUUUGUGAUUUCUAAACCUAAAAACGUUUAUUUUUUGUAAAUAUCAGUCUGUAAUAAAGGAUUU